GGAGAGGUGGGAGAGUGGCUGAAUCCGCCAGUUUGCUAAACUGGUGUACUCGAAAGGGUACCGGGGGUUCGAAUCCCCCUCUCUCCGCCA
rnacentral:tRNA from 1 species